UUUAGAGUUUGGACAGGUCGAAGAUUUUAGCAGAGGAGAGCGAGCAGCAGCAGGGGCGGCACAGAAGCAGCGGAGGAGCAGCCAUGGUUCUGAAGACGGAGCUCUGCCGUUUCAGCGGCGACAAGAUUUACCCGGGAAAGGGAAUCCGAUUCAUCCGCUCCGAUUCCCAGGUCUUCCUCUUCGCCAAUUCCAAAUGCAAGAGGUACUUCCACAACCGCCUCAAGCCUUCCAAGCUCACCUGGACCGCCAUGUACCGGAAGCAACACAAGAAGGAUAUUGCGGCUGAAUCUGUGAAGAAGAAGCGCCGCUCGACCAAGAAGCCCUAUUCGAGGUCCAUUGUGGGUGCCACAUUGGAAGUUAUCCAGAAGCGAAGGACCGAAAAGCCCGAAGUUCGUGACGCUGCCCGUGAGGCUGCUCUUCGUGAAAUUAAGGAAAGGAUUAAGAAGACCAAGGAUGAGAAGAAGGCCAAGAAGGCCGAAUCGGUGUCCAAGUCAAAGGGCCAGUCCAAGGGAAAUGUGCCCAAGGCUGCUGCUCCCAAGGCCGCCAAGCUUGGAGGUGGUGGUGGUGGAAAGCGAUGAGUUUUCUUCCUCUUCCUAUCUUAACAAUUUACUCAACUUGUUUUGCUCUGACAAUUUAAGUCUUUUCUGGUUUGCAUUUUUGUAUGGAUCAAUAUUUGCAUUGUUGGCCACUAGAAUUUUGGAUCUUCCUGUUGGGUUUCAAUUGCAUCACUGAAAGUUGUCAUUUUUA